UUAUUUCCUGUUCCCUGCCAACCUGCUUAGUUCCAUUAAACGUCACAUGAGGUCUCAAAUUGGAUGAAAUUUCUAUACAGGCAGCAUAAAAGAGACUUUGACUUUAUUCAGCGUAUGCCAUGGCCCACGACUGAAGUAGACAAAUCUGUUGACCCUGGGCUCAUCUUGCCAGGCCGUAGUAGGAUGCAGGUCAUACAGCUCAUACACAGCCUGCACGAUCAGGCGCUGCGUCUCACCAGGCACCGAAAUUACUCCCUGGGACAGUGAUGGACACUUGGGAAAAACCUCUCUGAGUGAAAAUGUCUUCCAUGCUGUGAGAAAUUACAACAUUUGUAAACGAUAGCAAAGGAACAAAAUGAGAAUGCAGAGAUAAGAAAAUAUAAUACUGAUGAUAACCAAGUAAAAGACCAUAGACACAACAUGGCCAAUUUUAUUAAUUUUAAAUGGCAAUUAUAUUCUAUCAAGAGGGCUAGAUCUGAAGUUCUGUUCUAAUUCAAAAGACCCAAAAACAGUUUGAUAAAGGGUCAGCAGAAAAGUAUUUUAAAAAAAGAGUAAACCCCUUUUUAUCUUUCACAUAGAAAAAUGUUUUUUCUUUUGCUUGCUGCACAGAGAGGUGCUAAAGUUAAUACUACUUUGUGUACUAAGUGAGGCAAUGUCUUUUUUAAUGCAAGCUGAACAGCACCUCCAGCAAGUAUCAAGAUUAAACAUUUGUAAAUUAUAAUAAAAAAAAGGACUUCUAAAC